GAGGCAUUGGUGUAGCGGUAACACACGAGCUUGUGGAGCUCUUAUCGAGGGUUCAACUCCCUCAUGCCUCCCCA
rnacentral:tRNA from 1 species